GACGAACGCUGGCGGCGUGCUUAACACAUGCAAGUCGAACGGAAAGGCCCUGCUUGCAGGGUACUCGAGUGGCGAACGGGUGAGUAACACGUGGGUGAUCUGCCCUGCACUUCGGGAUAAGCUUGGGAAACUGGGUCUAAUACCGGAUAGGAACCAUCUUUAGUGUGGUGGUUGGAAAGUUUUUUCGGUGUAGGAUGAGCUCGCGGCCUAUCAGCUUGUUGGUGGGGUAAUGGCCUACCAAGGCGGCGACGGGUAGCCGGCCUGAGAGGGUGUACGGCCACAUUGGGACUGAGAUACGGCCCAGACUCCUACGGGAGGCAGCAGUGGGGAAUAUUGCACAAUGGGCGCAAGCCUGAUGCAGCGACGCCGCGUGGGGGAUGAAGGCCUUCGGGUUGUAAACUCCUUUCGCUAGGGACGAAGCUUUGUUGUGACGGUACCUAGAUAAGAAGCACCGGCUAACUACGCG
rnacentral:rRNA from 1 species